rnacentral:tRNA from 1 species
GCCUGGGUGGCUCAGUCGGUUAAGCAUCUGACUUUAGCUCAGGUCAUGAUCUCGCGGUUCGUGGGUUCGAGCCCCAUGUCGGGCU